GAGCUCUCAUUUAAAAAAUUUGGGGCUGAAAUAAUAAAAAAAAUAAAUAGAUAAAUAUUAAAAAUAUAAAAGAGAUAUUAAAUAUUGCAUUAAAGCAAAUAAAAUACGACAAUAAAAAAAAAUUGUUUAAUAAAAAGAAAGAAUUUAAUUUUGGUUCCGAUUGAACGUUUUUCAGUAGUUUUAAGACAUGCAAAUCGUUAUUUCUGAAAGUAAAUUUUUAUUUAAAAUUAUAUAAAUAAUAACUAAAUAAAAAUGAUAAUAUGAAAUAAGGUGUAGAGGUGAGGAUAGUAAAUAAGAUACCCUGUAGUCUUCAUAGAUAGAAGAUAUUAUUCUAAGUAAAUUUUUUAAAUUUAUUACUAGUAUUUUUAAAUUAAUUUGCUUGCAUUAUAUAAAAUUAUAAUUGUUUUUCAUUAAUUGCAAAAAUUUAAAUAAAAAUGACUAAAGCAAAAAAAUUAUUUAAAUAACAAUAAUGUAAAAUAAAUGAAUAAAAUAAAAAAGCUAUUUUUAUUAAAAAAAGGAAAUUUUCUGCUAUAGGAUUCUAUUUAUUUUGAUUAGGUAGUUGGUAUGGGUAAAGGCCUACCAAGCCGACAAUCAAUAGCCAUGCUUGACAGAGCAGAUGGCCACAUUGGGAAUGAAAUCUCCCAAGUAGUUUUAUACUACCAGCAGUCAAGAAUAUUAGUCAAUGCUCGUAAGAGUGAACUAGCUAACUGAAAUCGCAAAUGUGUCAUUUGUGAUAAAGUAAGAGAAAAUUAUGAUAUUAUCUUACUACUAGUGCUGUCCAAAACUGGUGCCAGAAGACUCGGUAAGGCCAGAGGCGCAAACGUUAGUCGUCCUAAUCAGGCGUAAAGGGUUUGUAGGCUGCUUUGAAAGUCUUAUUAUUAUAAUAGCUAUUAAAUGAUAAGAUGAAUUGAAGCUAGAAUCUAAUAGAGGGUAAAACAAAUAAUAUUUAAAGUAAGGAUUAAAUCUCAAGAGUUUAGAUGGAAUACUAACGGUUAAAGCUUUUAUCUAUCUACAGAUUGACGCUGAGAAACGAAAGGGAGGUAAGGAAACAGGAUUAGAUACCCAACUACUGCUCCCUGUCAACGAUGAAUGGUGGUUGCUAGUUAUAACUACUUUAAGUAAAUAUUUUAUAUUAUAUAAGAUAAAAUAAGUAGUUAAAAUGACUGGUAGCGAUGCUAACGCGUUAACCAUUCCGCCUUGUGAGUACGACUGCAAAGUUGAAAACAAAAAAAUUAGUCGGUUUCGAAGCAAACGAAGUGAAGCAUGUUAUUUAAUACGAUAAUCCGCGUAAAAUCUUACCAGUUCUUGCAUACAAACUUUUUUUAUAAUAAUUUAAAUUAAAUUUUAAAUAGUUAUUUAAAAAGGAGUGUUUUUACUUUUUUAAAAAUACUUAGAUACAGGUGUUGCAUGGCUGUCGUCAGUCCGUGCUGUGAGAAGUUUGGUUAAAUCCGCUAACGGACAAAAUCCCUGUUGUUAAUUUAUACUUAACAAUUAAUGAUACUGAUAGAGCAUCAUUUGGGGCGAAGACAAGUCGUUAUGGCCCUCAUGAACUGGGCUAUAGACGUGCCACAAAGACUUUAACAAAGUGAAGCGAUACUGUUCCCUUAAUAUUUUUCUAAAGAAUUUUAUUAGAUUUAAUUAUAACAAUUAAAUUAUAGGGAAUUUAAGGAGGAGCUAAUCAUUAAAAAAAGUCAAACUAUUAAAUAUAGUCGGAUUGUCAUCUGAAACUCGGGGACAUGAAGAAGGAAUUUCGAGUAAUCGUUGAUCACUACGCAACGGUGAAGCUAGCAUUCGGAAUGAACUAACCGUCUGUCGCUGGGAAGGAGCUUAACUUGGUGGAAACUGGAAUGAAGUUUUAACUUUUACAAAAAUUAAAUUUUUAUUUAGUAUCUUUGAUAUUUUAUUUUUAAUUUAUUAGUUUUUUUUUCGUUAGAUUUUUUUUAAUUUAUUGCUUAAUUAAAAAGUAUUAUUUUUGUUUAAAGAAUAAAUACUUGUCUAACAAUGUUAAAUUUAAAACGAUUUUGUUAAGCAAAUUAGCUCUAGUUAAACCAAUUAAGUAACAUCUCAAAAGUCAUAGCAAGGUAGCCGUACUGGAAAGUGCUGCUGUAAAAUAAAACGAAUAGUUUAUAACCCCCCUAUAAACUAUCAUUUUUUGUAUUAAUUACCUUUUUAAUACAAUUUUUUAAAUUAUAUACUUAUUAAUACUUUACGUCCUAAUAUACAUAUAUUUUUUUUAACAAAUUAUCAAUCCUUAUUAAUUUAAAUGUAAAAUAUUUAUUUAUUUUAUAAUUUUUGUUUUUUAUUAUUUUUAUAUUAUUUUUAUAUUAUUUUUAAGGGGUUAGCUGAGUGGUUUAGCAGUAAAUUUACACUUUACAGACAGGGUUUCGAUUACUCUACUCCUUAUUUUUUGUUAAGAUUAAAGUUAUAUCUUUAAAUAUGAGGUAUAAUAUCUAAACUAAUUUAUUUAUUAUUUUUAAAUUUAAUUAUAUAAAUAUUUAGGAAAAAUAAUUUAUUUAAUAUAAAAAGUAUAAUUUUUAUGAUUAAAUUUUAGUAUAAAUUAUUUUAUCACAAAAUAUAAUAUUUUAAUUUAUAUGUAUUUUCUCAUGAAACUACAGAGUUAAUUACUGGAAUGUUAUUAAGUGAUGGUAAUUUAGACUUAUCAAAUUCUGCAG
rnacentral:ncRNA from 1 species